rnacentral:rRNA from 1 species
AACGUAGGACACAAGCGUUAUCCGGAAGUACUGGGCGGAAAGGGAGUGCAGGCGGUUGCGGAAGUUAGGCGUGAAAGACUUCGGCUAAACCGGGGGAGGUCGUCUGAUACUGCGUAACUAGAGUGUGGUAGAGGCGUGUAGAAUUCCGGGUGUAGUGGUGAAAUGCGCAGAUAUCAGGAGGAACACCGGUGGCGAAGGCGGAUCUCUGGGCCUUACCUGACGCUCAGGUGCGAAAGCUAGGGGAGCGAACAGG